CCCUUCCCCAGCAACGUCAACCUAAAGAAGGAAAGGCAAGUUUCCAUUUUCUUCAAUUUCGAAGGUCACGGAGAUACCAUUACGUUAAACUUGUCAUGUGGAGUUAGAGGUUGGGUGAGAACGGGAAGUGUUGCACCAUUAUCAAGCAGGUACAAUAGCCGCAAGGCUUAAGAGGUUAGGGGUAGAAAAAAAAUCGUAUAAAAGGAGAGAGAAAAGGCGUUUGAAAUCAGUUGAGUGAGAAUCUCCGACCCGGCAACUGCUGUGUCCUAUUCGUCACUAAAUGCAUUUUUCAUUUUAAAAUCAUUACGCAAUAAGAAAAAAAAAAGGCCAAAGAAAUCAGUCGAGUGAUCAUCUCCGACACUGCAAUAGCAACUGCAGUGCACUAUUGAUCAUCAAUUGAUUCUUCACUGUGUAAUCAGUUCGUAAUCAUGGUUAAUUAUGGCGUUGUGCUGCUGUUGGGUCGACCACGAGUGUACCGAUGUCUCCUGGAUACGGUGGCCCCGAGUUACUUCACCAAAGCGCCUGAGUACUACACUGAGGCUCCCAAGUACUACACCAUCAAAGCCCCAGAGUAUUACACUGCAAUCUACGCUGCCCCAGCUUACACCACCAAGGGACCGGAGUACUGCACCACAACCUACGCUGCCCCAGUUCACUACGCCGCCCUGAGCUACACAACCACAUCUGAGGCAGCCGUCAUUACUGCACAGCGGCUGCUUCUUAGUAACAACCUACGUUACACCUAGAUGCUACACCGAAGCCCCCAAGUACUGCACCGGCAAGGCCGAAUAUUACAUAACCACGUUUGCUGCCCCAGCUACCCUGCUACACCGAGAAACCCAAGUAUUUCUCUGCUCCAAGCAACUAUCGAACAGAGGCUCCUGUUGACUACACCACCCAUGCCCCGGGGUUUACAGUACAACCUACGCUGCCCCAUCUACACCAUCAAGGCUCCAAAGUACUACGCAACCGAGGCACCCGAGCUACUACUUAGGCUGCUCCGACUUUCUGCACCGAAGCUGCGAAAUAUUCCACUGCCCCGAGUUACUACACCAUCAAGGCUGUUACAAUGUUACAUCACAACCUACGCUUCUCCAGUUUACUAUAUAAUGGUGAAGCCAGAAAUGGAAACAGUUAAUUUAUAGUCUAGUGCUGUUGUUUGGUGUAUCGUUGACGGUCGAGUCGUCCACUGGUGUACCGGUGCUCCUGGGUGUGGCAGAUACCAAACCGCAAUGCUACCGUCUUACUACACAACAAACAUACGCAACCAGUUACUACACCUAAAAGGCCGUAUGUUACACAAGGACGUAUGCUACACCAGUUUACUACACCGAGGAAUUCAAGUAUUACUCUUCCCCGAACAAAUACCAAACAGAGGCUCCUGUUUACUACACUACCAUCGCCCUCGAGUGUUACACUAAAACCUACGUUGCCCCCAACUACUACACUGUGGCUCCGAAGUGCUACACAUCAAUGCACAACCAAUUCGCAAUUGUUUAUUUUUACGUCGUGCUGCUGUUGGUUGUUCUAUCGUUGCUAACGUGUUGACCACUGUACCGAACUCCACCGACUUUGG